rnacentral:lncRNA from 1 species
UUUCAACACACUCAACCGACCGCCGGUCACUCCACUACACAAUGUACAACCGAUGUCAGCAUGUACUAUCGCCGGUCAGUGUCUACCACGACUGCCAAAAACUAGGCUACAGAGGUUCUUUUUCUAAACAACGACUAGAAUUUAAUGUGAUUAAUUGGACGGCUACGAUCGAAGAUCGCAGAUAGUGCGCAUACAAGGGUUCGCACUAGAAGCGCUCUGUAUAUAUAUAAAAACAUCUGUAAAACUCAACGAUGAACUCUAAGACUUCUAAAUACAUUGAUUUUAAUAAUAAAAAAAAUGAAUAAAUAGGGCUCAUCGGAUUAAGGUUUUGAACAUAUAUUAUUUAGAAUACAGAAUGAAUAAUCAAAAAUUAAGAAUAAGAUUAAAUCUGAAGUAAGAAUAAGAUCAGAAAUUAAGAAUAAAAAAUUUAUGUAUUAGAAUAAAGAAAUUAAGAAUAAGAUUGCAUCAAAAAUUAAAAAUAAUAUCAGAAAUUAAAAAUAAGAAAUUUCUGUAUUAGAAAACAGAAAUUAAGGCUAAGAUUAGUUCUCCUAACUCAUAGCAACCUAAAGCGUUGAAAACUAAUCAAAAUGAAUGAUCAGGAGAUUGCUUUAAUUGAAUACAACACAAUAAGAAGAAGAAUGAAGAAGAAAAAUAGAUGACCAUUGUGGAACGAUUCUGAAUAACACAAAAAAAAAUUGAUUGAUUAAUAACACCAACCCCAUGAAUAGCUGAUUGAAAAAAGAUAGACUAUUUACCUACCACUGAAUUGGUUUUAAACACUGAACUGGUUUCAUUCUAGGGUAACAUACAAAGCAGUAACCUACUAUUGGUUUCAUUCUCAAGGGAAGUCUGAAAUUGAACUCACAAAGUCUAAAUUUCAGAACAGAGAUUGAACUCACAAAGUUCUUCCCCGGAUCUGAAAUCCAUACUUCCCCUUCACCAGCACUUCCCCUGGAUUUCAGAACUAUUUAAGUCUAGAAUGAACUCACAAAGUCUGGAUUUCAGUAUGAAUGAUCAGGAGAUUUAUUUAAUUGAAUACAACACAUUAAGAAGAAGAAGAAAAACAGAAUUAACCUCUAGAAACCUUGGAACCUCUAGAAAAGAACCCAACUACAGAACGAUUCUGGAAACCUCUAGAACCUCUAGAAACCCUAGAACCUCGGAACCUCUGGAACGAUUCUGGAAACCCAACGACGGUUUGCGCGUGAGAAUCAAGGUUUAAGAAGAAUGUGAAAUAAGAUUGAGAAGAUUGAGAAUCAGGGGGUUUGCGUGCGAGAAGAUUGAGAAGAAAUAAGAAUCAGGGGCUGGAGUGGAGCUUGAAAUUUUUUCGGGAGAAGAUUGAGAAGAAUGAUUUGGGAUUUAGGUAUAAGGGUUUACGAUUUGGUACAAG